CUGACAACUUCAUGCCAUAUAGAGCUUAAUCGAUCCCAUUGAAAAGUGGCCUUUUUUUUUAACUCUUUCAUUUCUCGUCGUUUGCAAAUUAAAAAAUGAAAAACAAUAACCUCGCUACUGCUGCCCAGCAAAAUCUACAGAAUCUUCCGAACUGUGGCGUUAAACGCAGAUUGGAAACCUAUUUUCAAUUUUUGGAGGAUUGCGAAGCUCCAGGCUACAAACGUCACAAAUACUUUAAAGCUGGAGAAUAUGUUGUUCAAGAAAGUUCCAGCAAUCAUUGCGAUAAUCGAGAUGUGAUUCAGUACUUAGAUUCUACGGAAGUUUCCUCACCAAGUCAUAUUGUUUAUCUGGAUAUGGAACCCGAUUGCCCCAAUUCAGUUAGUCCUCCUCCUAAUAGAAUCGUUUCAAGGAGGGCUACAAUUUAAAACAGCACAAAAAGUGUGGAGAUGUGGAUGUCAAGGACUAGAUUUAGACUAAGUUCCUUUUUACUUCAUAAAGGAUCGGGAAACCAACAAAAAUAUACACUUCACCAGCAGGCUGAAAAAGGAUUUCCAAUCCUACUCUAAAACUUUCAUAACCUUACAAAAUGCGAGAAACAAUGGACGACUGGUGUAUAAACGUUUAUUUCAAUUACAAAAAUGUUCUAAUUGUCUUUGCAUUACAAUAAAAACUUGUAAGCCUUUUGGCGACUAAA